rnacentral:rRNA from 1 species
GGAGGGGGCUAGCGUUGUUCGGAAUGACUGGGCGUAAAGGGCGCGUAGGCGGCUUAUCAAGUCAGGUGUGAAAGCCUUGGGCUUAACCCAAGAAUUGCGCUUGAUACUGAUAAGCUAGAGGAUGAUAGAGGAAAGCGGAAUUCCUAGUGUAGAGGUGAAAUUCGUAGAUAUUAGGAAGAACACCAGAGGCGAAGGCGGCUUUCUGGAUCAUAUCUGACGCUGAGGCGCGAAAGCGUGGGGAGCAAACAGGAUUAGAUACCCUGGUAGUCCACGCCGUAAACGAUGAGUGCUAGACGUUAGGGCGCAAGCUUUAGUGUCACAGCUAACGCGUUAAGCACUCCGCCUGGGGAGUACGGUCGCAAGAUUA